rnacentral:rRNA from 1 species
UUUUCUUUUUUUUUUUUUUUUGGAAAGAAAAAAUCGUAACAAGGUUUCCGUAGGUGCAUACCUAGCGGAGAAGAGGAUCAUUAUUGAAUUUUAAUGAGGAGUUUGGUUGUAGCUGGCCUUUGGGGAUUUUCUUAACUGAUUGUUUCCUUUGGCAAUUUUGUGCACGCCUCUCUCUUUCAUCCACACACACCUGUGCACUUGUGAGACAGAUGUGGGGACUUUAUUGGACCCCGUCUGUCUACUUAAUCCACACACACUCUAUUUAAUUUGAACUGAAUGUAAUUGAUGUAACGCAUCUAAUACUAAGUUUCAACAACGGAUCUCUUGGCUCUCGCAUCGAUGAAGAACGCAGCGAAAUGCGAUAAGUAAUGUGAAUUGCAGAAUUCAGUGAAUCAUCGAAUCUUUGAACGCACCUUGCGCUCCUUGGUAUUCCUUGGAGCAUGCCUGUUUGAGUAUCAUGAAAUCUUCAAAGUAGACCUUUUGUUAAUUCAAUUGGUUCCUCACUUUGGUUUUGGAGGUCUUUGCAGCUUCACACCUGCUCCUCUUUGUUCAUUAGCUGGAUCUCAGUGUUAUGCUUGGUUUCCACUCGGCGUGAUAAGUAUCUAUCGCUAAGGACACGGUAAAAGGUGGCCAAGGUAAAUGCAGAUGAACCGCUUCUAACAGUCCAUUGACUUGGACAAAAUAAAAUAUUUAUGAUCUGAUCUCAAAUCAGGGUGAGGACUACCCGCUGAACCUUAAGCAUAUCAUAAAGCCGGAGGAAAAAGGAACUUUGCUGU